rnacentral:rRNA from 1 species
AUUGAACGCUGGCGGCAGGCCUAACACAUGCAAGUCGAGCGGAGCGGCGGACGGGUGAGUAAUGUCUGGGAAACUGCCUGAUGGAGGGAGAUAACUACGGGAAACUGUAGCUAAUACCGCGUACCAUAGGAUGAGCCCAAGUGGGAUUAGGUAGUUGGUGGGGUAAAGGCUCACCAAGCCGACGAUCUCUAGCUGGUCUGAGAGGAUGACCAGCCACACUGGAACUGAGACACGGUCCAGACUCCUACGGGAGGCAGCAGUGGGGAAUAUUGGACAAUGGGCGAAAGCCUGAUCCAGCCAUGCCGCGUGUGUGAAGAAGGUCUUCGGAUUGUAAAGCACUUUAAGUUGGGAGGCGUUACCAACAGAAUAAGCACCGGCUAACUUCGUGCCAGCAGCCGCGGUAAUAC